AUUGAACGCUGGCGGCAGGCCUAACACAUGCAAGUCGAACGAGUGGCGGACGGGUGAGUAAUGUCUGGGAAACUGCCUGAUGGAGGGGGCUAACUACUGGAACCGGUAGCUAAUACCGCAUACCAUCGGAUCUGCCCAGCGGGAAUUAGCUAGUAGGUGGGGUAAAGGCUCACCUUGGCGACGAUCCCUAGCUGGUCUGAGAGGAUGACCAGCCACACUGGAACUGAGACACGGUCCAGACUCCUACGGGAGGCAGCAGUGGGGAAUAUUGCACAAUGGGCGCAAGCCUGAUGCAGCCAGGCCGCGUGUAUGAAGAAGGCCUUCGGGUUGUAAAGUACUGUCAGCGGGGAGGCGUUACCCGCAGAAGAAGCACCGGCUAACUCCGUGCCAGCAGCCGCGGUAAUAC
rnacentral:rRNA from 1 species